rnacentral:misc_RNA from 1 species
GAUGAAGAACGCAGCGAAAUGCGAUAAGUAAUGUGAAUUGCAGAAUCCAGUGAAUCAUCGAAUCUUUGAACACACAUUGCGCCCGCCAGCAUUCUGGCGGGCAUGCCUGUUCGAGCGUCAUUUCAACCCUCGACCUCCCUUUGGGGAAGUCGGCGUUGGGGACCGGCAGCACACCGCCGGCCCUGAAAUGGAGUGGCGGCCCGUCCGCGGCGACCUCUGCGUAGUAAACCAACUCGCACCGGAACCCCGACGUGGCCACGCCGUAAAACACCCAACUUCUGAACGUUGACCUCGAAUCAGGUAGGACUACCCGCUGAACUUAAGCAUAUCAAUAAGCGGAGGA